GUUUACUGAAACGAACAUUCAUCAUAUAUGCAUCCACUAUCCUCAGAAAGAUUGGUCAUUCACGCAGUAUUUUUAUUCGAAGUUGGUAUGAAUUUUUUAUGACUAUUGAGAAAAUGCUUCAGGAUAAAACGAUCUGAGUUAUGGUUGGUGUGGUAUUGCCGGACUGUGUCUACCCCGGGGCAAAACAAAAAUUUGUCAAGUUUGUCGAGACGCAAUGAAGUGGAAUAAAACAGGUGAGACACAAAUAGCCCCUUCCACUUCACGUUGACUCCUCCACUCCAGUGCCGUCACUGCCAAAUGGACCCUAGCGAGAAUGGGAGUGAAACAUCUCACAGUAUCUUCACGGGAGUGUCGUGCUUGACACAUUCUUCUUUAUAUAUUCACGAAAAACUUCAUGUCAGCGAUUACAAGCUCGUCUGGGCAUUGCAAACUUGUGAAAAACGGCAACAGGGGACAAUAAAAACUGGGAAUAUGAUUAGCCGACAAGUAAAGGAACAACCGUGGAGUUUUCUAUACACUAUCAGGUCUAGGACAGCCGACUGGAGCCGGGGGUUUUUCCCAUGCUGAAUUCCCUCUGUGUGUUCAUAAUGGCGUGGCCAUGGUGUGCUCUUACAAACAAAGCCCUCUCAGCAUAGGGUCUAGUGAAAUAUACGUACCAGGAGGCUUUAGCAUCCAUACAAUCUCAAAAUUGACAACUCUUAAUUAUACGUUUGCCAAGUAGUAGCCAAUCACAGCGCGCUGUUGUCAAUAUGGGGCGGAGCCAUUGUGAAUCUAUUGAAUAUUUUGCGUGUUUGAUAUGAUGCACACACUGAUUAUAAGUUGGCUACUACGCUAGUGUAUGGACAGUAAUCGUUAUCCCAUCAUCAACUCAUCACGUUGGAGUGAGAACUGCUAGUAUAUUAUACAGUGCAAUUAAAGUUAAUAAGUAGGCAAGGAACACUAGUGUUUCUGUAAAAUAGUAUGCUGAAUAUGACAGGAUCUGAGGCCAUCGGCCAAGAUAUUCCGGACAGUAAAUCUGCGUUUAUGGAAAUUCAACAGAUGCAACAAAAUAUGGGACAUCAUGCCGCAUACCCUAUCCGUGCUAGUUACCCUAGUCAGCACCCGUCACAGGAUUCUAUGUACACUUCACAGGCUACCCGUCCUCUGGGUUAUCCAUUUUCCAUGAAUGGUAUGUCACACACGGCCUACAACUCUCCGUCACAUUUUGUCAACCCCUACCAGGCGAGCUGUCCUCCAAGAGAUGAUAAAUCUCCGAUUGAAGAACAACUUCGAGUAAAUGGCAAGGGCAAGAAGAUGCGAAAACCGCGCACUAUAUACAGUAGUCUCCAGCUUCAGCAACUCAACAGACGAUUCCAAAGAACACAGUACUUGGCUUUACCUGAACGUGCAGAGCUAGCAGCAUCUCUCGGUCUUACACAGACACAGGUAAAAAUCUGGUUCCAGAACCGACGAUCCAAAUACAAGAAAAUCAUGAAGCACAAUCCCAAUGGGACCAUAUCAAUGUCCCCACCUCAUCCCGGUUCCGGGGGUAACCCUAUGUCCAACGGCGGGGAGCCAAUGACACCACCCCCUAUGUCACAGCCUCCACAGUCAGUGUCUCCCCCAACGCCACAUUCUCAGCACAACGGACAGACCACGGUGCCAGGAACCGUGCAAACAAAUAAUAUGAUGGGACAGCAAAAUGUGCAUCAGCACCCCGAUGAUUCGGUCACACCCCCCUCAUCGUGGGCCGAGAUUCACAGUAGUGCCGCACACACGCCCUCUAUGUCUAUGCCACCCGGCAACUAUAUGUCGCAGUACCCCUGGUACUCGCACACAGCCGCAAACCCCGUGCAGCAACAGCAAAUACUAACUUAACACAGCAACAAACAAUCAAAUAUUGUACAAAAUAGUCAUCAAAGCAGUGUCGUCAUGAACUGUGCAGUGCUCCGUAAAAACGUCACGGGGACGUCGUCCGUAUCGUGCGACAAUAAACGUGAACUGCAGUGACGUACGUCGCAAAUCUCAGAGUCAGUGCAAUCAGCUCAGGAAGAAGUCUUGAGUCGGGGUGACCCGCUUAGUAUACGACCCGAUCCUCGGGUCAGAUGACAGUCUCU
rnacentral:misc_RNA from 1 species